AUUUUACGAUCGGUGAAAUAUAUAGUUAUUUCUUUCUUCAGGUGCUUCAUCUUGAUAUUGGCUCUGUUUUACUGUCUAGAAUAUUCACGUACACCAAAAACAAAUCUGUAUAUUCUAUGGUUUUUGUUUCUUAUUGUUUUAUUUCUCCUUUCCACACAGAACCCAUUGCUAUCAGGGCACUUCUAUUGAUUCGCAUGGAAUCAAUAUGGCUGUUUGGUGACCAGAACAUAGCAUGGGACCAGUCCUUGAAGAAGCUGAGACUUCAGUCAGGCUCUCAAAUGAUGAGAAGAAAGCAUCUGGUUGUGGUUCUAAAGCCUGGGAUCCUAGCAAGAUGAACAGGUGGUGAUUAGACUGUUUGCUCAUCUGGGAGUGUUGGAAGGAAGGAGCCCAGUGCAAGACGACAGAGACCAUGCCAAGCGAGGAGGGCAUUCCUGAGUGAGUGGGGUGUUGGAGCCCAAGUAGGGUGAGGCCAGCAGGCUGGUGAAGCCCAGCAGAUUGAGAAGGGCACCCACACGGGGCAGGGCAUGCCUGUUGUGGGGUAUCGGAAACUGGACUGCGGUAAGGAGGGUUCUGACGUGGUAGACGCUCUGACACAGGGUCAGACCCAAGCAGAGUGAGAAGGACAUUUACAAAGGAGCAAAGGUGGCCAUUGCAAUGGACAGCUGGGUACCUGCAAGGAUCCAAUAUGUAAAUCUAUGAAAGAUAACAGGAGCCAGGUUUCUCAGUAUUGGAUAAGGGGAUUGCAAAUAUGGAAAGGCAGAACACUAGAAUAAACCUUACAAUAUUGGAAUUGGAAACAGAAGUAUUUCUGUAAACUCAUGGUUUUUCCAUAUGCAUAGAUAAAUUUAGAAUUAAAGAUACAUGUAAAUGUGUGUACAUGUAUGUACAUAUAUAUAUACGUAUAUUCCCGAACUCU